ensembl:lincRNA
AGAAAGAGAAACGGAAACAGUGAGUGUCCUCACUGAAGAGGCAGAUGACCCCCAGGCGACUGCUGAAGAAUUUGAGACCACCAGGAAAAUUCCCAAGAGAACAUGGUGGAAGUGCUUCAAGAUUGUAAUUACCACCCUUGCGAUUCCCCUGUCAAUCAUUAUCAUUCUCUUAAGUACUCACAUAAUACCCACCUGACCAAUAAAGAGUUACAUGGA